AUCAGGGACUCCGAGCAGGAUUACCCAGUCAGGGGCCCAAGAAGGGUCCACAGAACUGGACCACCUUAGGACAACAAUAGCCAGAAAAUCAAGUAAACAACAUCGGCCAAGGGAGCUAAUUUAAGCAG